UGCGCUUUGGGCGCUGAAAACGCUAUUUAGACAGUUUCAGAGCGCUACGAGCUUGGGAAAGUGGUUUUUCUA